CUUCCCAUUUAUUUGCUGCUAUAGUCUUUACAAUGAUAUGAGCAGUUAUAUGCACAGGAUAAAAUAACAUUGGACCACUGUCAAUUGAGAUGGAGUAACUAUUUCAUCUCUUCUGCAUGCAUAGUUUAGACAAAU
rfam:Myotis lucifugus cont2.61182, whole genome shotgun sequence.